UGUGGAUCAGCUGAAUUCAUUGGGGAGUCGAGAAGAUAUACAGAAAAGGCACAAAUGCGGGUGCCGCCAAAACUGUGUGUGUGUUCUUCUUCUCCUCCAUCGUGUACGACGUGAGAAGUGUGAGGUGUGUCCACUGCGUACUCGCGUGCGUGUAUCCAUUGAUCUUGGGAAAAUCUAUCAUGUGGUAUCAGAGCGAGGUGCGUUGAGGUUGCCAAGGGUUCGUCGUCGUCGUGACGCUGCGUCACGAGCUACGGCGCGCCGACGGCUGCAAGGAGGUGAUGGCCAUGGCGCGGAGGCCAUCACCAUGAUGAGUUCAUCGUUCGUGUUCGAGUCGUCGACAAGGUGCGGCAUCGACGACAACAUGAAGGCGAGUCACCGGCGAGUUGCGUCACCGGUGGCGAAGUUGGAGGCGAGUCACCGGCGAGUUGCGGCACCGGCGGCGAACAUGCAGCAGCAAGCGCGUCACGGCGGUGUGCUCGCGGUGAAGGUGUAGGAGGUGCGUCUCUCGGUGAGGCCAAUGACGACAGCGGCAAUCGGUGUGCAAGAUGGCAUUGGCGGCCAUCUGCGAGGUGCAAUCGAUGACAUCGACGUCCAUGGGCUUCAAGAGAGAAAUAAGAACAACAAAAUUAGGGAGGUGAUUGUUGAAACUAAUCUUGUUAGUUAGUAUUUAUGAUGUUAGAGCUAGAUGUAUGCAUGUAAACAUGGCAGAGAGGUAUCGGCAAGAGAGCAUAGCACGCAGUGAUAGAGGGAGUGCAGUGCAGCGGCUAGACUGCCAGCCAUAUAGUUGAGUACUUGCAUACACGUGUUGUUAGGAUUAGUCAACUGUUAGUGUUGAUCGUGUGGGUAGUUAGUGGAGUAAAAAUAGGAUUAGGCCGUUCUGCCUGGCUGUGUAUGCGUGCGUUGUGGGCUAUAUAAGCCAUGUAAUCAGCUGAAUUCAUUGGGGAGUCGAGAAGAUAUACAGAAAAGGCACAAGUGCGGGUGCCGCCAAAA